GCCCCAUUUUUGGCCGAGAGGUUAAGGCGAUGGACUGCUAAUCCAUUGUGCUCUGCACGCGUGGGUUCGAGUCCCAUCCUCAUCGAGAGGCU